rnacentral:rRNA from 1 species
GCUCAGGGUGUCGAGGUUGUCGUGCUCUGUCUAAGUUCARCCGGUGGUGUCGGGGUUGCCCGACGCUGCUGGUGCAUUCUUGGGCGGAGUUGGACCGUCANUUGGGAAGAGGCCGGGACCUGUUUGUCGGCGGUCGGGAGGUACGCCUUGGACCUCCUGUGGGGUUCAAGGUGACGUAUAUCCGUUCCCUCGUGGUCCCGGUGUCUCUUUCAAGUGCGUUGGAUGUCUGAUCGUCCAGAACAGUAAGAUGCAGUCUCUCUUUCGUGGGGGACCGGGCCCGUUUGGCAGUYGCGAUGCGUUGGUGAGCCGUGUUCCGUUCUCUCUCCGUUAAGCUUCGGCUUGCGGGGCAAGAGUGCGGCACGUCACUCCAGCGACGUUGUCCUGUCCAGGCGGUGUUCCAAGUUGUCUGCGUCGAGGCGACUGGCGAAGAGUCGUUACCCUGUGC